UGCCUCUCAUUGUAGCUCUGUUACGUUAGUAAUCUUCACGUCUCACAUAAAUCCAAAUUUUUUAAAGCUAUUCAUCUCUCGGAAGGAGAAUAAAACUACUGAAGAAUUCAAUCACAAACACCUCCACUUCCACAUUCAGCUGUCGGCUGGGUUACAAGGGGGCGUGCGCAUCAUUCACGUGGCUAUUUAUCAGUUGAGUGGAAGAGGUAAUUUAAAGGGAGGGUGUCGAUAUUUUGAGACAUGACGCAUUUUGAUUUAAUAUGAUUGAUUAUGUAUGUCGAAGGAUGAACUUCAAAGGAAUAACCAUAGUAUUGUUAAAAUGACUCGAAUUGGUGUAAUUUGUAACUGUUAUUGCAUGUAUUACUUUUUUCCAUUGUAGCUAUGUAAAUUGGAAUACCCUGGGGAAUGGUUUAGCCCAAUUAUGGGAAAUAUAUAUAAUGGGGCCAGUUUCUUUCAGUGGGGUUCUUCUUUUCGUUGGGUGAACAGCUUGCUGUGAGGGCUGGGUAAUGUUAUCAUGCUAAAGCUAUCUGCUAAUUACUAAUGACUAAUUCUACCUGUUACUAAGGCCCUUUUAUUGUUUCCCGGGAAUGUACAGUACCUUGCUUAAGAUGUAUGUUUUGUUUUUGUUUUAAUUGGUGAUUUUUGGGAAGCACUGUAAAUAAAUCAGUACUUCGGCAUCUGA